AUGGCUCAGGAUGAACGCUGGCGGCGUGCCUAAUACAUGCAAGUCGAACGAAACUUCUUUAUCACCGAGUGCUUGCACUCACCGAUAAAGAGUUGAGUGGCGAACGGGUGAGUAACACGUGGGCAACCUGCCCAAAAGAGGGGGAUAACACUUGGAAACAGGUGCUAAUACCGCAUAACCAUAGUUACCGCAUGGUAACUAUGUAAAAGGUGGCUAUGCUACCGCUUUUGGAUGGGCCCGCGGCGCAUUAGCUAGUUGGUGGGGUAAAGGCUUACCAAGGCAAUGAUGCGUAGCCGAACUGAGAGGUUGAUCGGCCACAUUGGGACUGAGACACGGCCCAAACUCCUACGGGAGGCAGCAGUAGGGAAUCUUCCACAAUGGGCGAAAGCCUGAUGGAGCAACGCCGCGUGGGUGAAGAAGGUCUUCGGAUCGUAAAACCCUGUUGUUAGAGAAGAAAGUGCGUGAGAGUAACUGUUCACGUUUCGACGGUAUCUAACCAGAAAGCCACGGCUAACUACGUGCCAGCAGCCGCGGUAAUACGUGGGUGGCAAGCGUUAUCCGGAUUUAUUGGGCGUAAAGGGAACGCAGGCGGUCUUUUAAGUCUGAUGUGAAAGCCUUCGGCUUAACCGGAGUAGUGCAUUGGAAACUGGGAGACUUGAGUGCAGAAGAGGAGAGUGGAACUCCAUGUGUAGCGGUGAAAUGCGUAGAUAUAUGGAAGAACACCAGUGGCGAAAGCGGCUCUCUGGUCUGUAACUGACGCUGAGGUUCGAAAGCGUGGGUAGCAAACAGGAUUAGAUACCCUGGUAGUCCACGCCGUAAACGAUGAAUGCUAAGUGUUGGAGGGUUUCCGCCCUUCAGUGCUGCAGCUAACGCAAUAAGCAUUCCGCCUGGGGAGUACGACCGCAAGGUUGAAACUCAAAGGAAUUGACGGAGGCCCGCACAAGCGGUGGAGCAUGUGGUUUAAUUCGAAGCAACGCGAAGAACCUUACCAGGUCUUGACAUCUUUUGACAACCCUAGAGAUAGGACUUUCCCUUCGGGGACAAAAUGACAGGUGGUGCAUGGUUGUCGUCAGCUCGUGUCGUGAGAUGUUGGGUUAAGUCCCGCAACGAGCGCAACCCUUAUUGUUAGUUGCCAGCAUUAAGUUGGGCACUCUAGCAAGACUGCCGGUGACAAACCGGAGGAAGGUGGGGAUGACGUCAAAUCAUCAUGCCCCUUAUGACCUGGGCUACACACGUGCUACAAUGGACGGUACAACGAGUCGCAAGACCGCGAGGUUUAGCAAAUCUCUUAAAGCCGUUCUCAGUUCGGAUUGUAGGCUGCAACUCGCCUACAUGAAGUCGGAAUCGCUAGUAAUCGCGGAUCAGCAUGCCGCGGUGAAUACGUUCCCGGGCCUUGUACACACCGCCCGUCACACCAUGAGAGUUUGUAACACCCAAAGCCGGUGGGGUAACCUUUUGGAGCCAGCCGUCUAAGGUGGGAUAGAUGAUUAGGGUGAAGUCGUAACAAGG
rnacentral:rRNA from 1 species